ACACACACAGAGACACACCGCGACACACACACACACACGCGCGCAUACACACAGCCCGACACACACGCACGCGCGCUUCUUAAAGGAGACGGCUCAUAAAGGAUUCCCCACUACGCCAGCAGAGGGGAAGAGGAGCCCACGGGAAAGAAAAGCAGGCGAGGUUAAGAAUAAAGAGUGUUCCAGGUAUGACAGCUACCUCGGUGAGGUGGAAGAGAGAAUUGACAAGGCAAAUUUCAUGGGUGAGUUGGAAAGGCAAGAAGCAGGACUACAAGAGGUCCUAUGUGUUCCCCUUGCUGCUGCCAUGUGAAGAAGGACAUGUUUGCUUCCCCUUCUGCCAUCAUUGUUAUUCAUGUUAGGCUCCUGAAAACACCACAAGGACCUACCCUCCGGGAGCCAGCCAGAGAACCCUUCUUCCUGCACUGUCUCCGUUAUGCCCAACAUUUCUGGGCAUAAGUUUUAAUAAACCUUACCUGGGAAAAGUUUGUUUGGCCUCGUGUUAAUUGCUAUUAUAUGGAGAGCCAAGAAUCUCGAACCAGUAAGAGUUGUGAAGUCACCCUCAAUAUUUCCCAAGUCUUCAAAGGAAUUGAGACACUAUAAUCAUUACCCAGGACUCCACGCUUGUCAAAUUUGUUGAUGACCUCCUACUUUGCAACCAAACUGAAUAGAAUGCUUGUAUAGACUCCCUAAUCCUUCUGAAGGUACUGACUGAGCAAGGCUACAAAGCCUCCAAAUCUAAAUGUCCAUGGGUACAGACAACUGACUUAUUUAGGCCAUAAAGCAUCUCGGAGCACUAAAAAACUCACAGUAAAAUAUCUUGAAGGAAUUUUGACAAUCUUUUCUUAAGAAGAAAGAAAAAAAACCAGAAAUUUUUAGAGGCAGCUGGUUAUUGCCAUCAAUGGAUUCUUAAUUUUGCCAUCCUAGCCAAGCCUUUAUAUGUUUUCCUCUCAGGUAUAACCUCAGAACCCCUUUUAUGGCCCUCUGAGACACUGGCCUCCUUUGAAGCAUUAAAAUAAGCAUUAUCUACACCCCCAGCUCUCAGUUUAUCCAAUUUUGACAAACCUUUUCAACAAUAUUGCCAUGAAAUUAAUGAGAUUGUUGCUAGUAUUCUAGAACAGCCGUUUGUCUCUCAAUUACUUUUUAUGGCAUAUUUCUUAUUUCGAUCAACCCUGUGACAUCAGGCAUGCCUCCAUGCCUGUGUGCGAAAGCCACAGCUGCCACCCUAAUGGAAAAAGCCUUUAUUCUUACAUUAGGCCUCCCUACUCACCUCUAUGUUACCCUUGAUGUGUCAGCGCUCUUACAAGCUCAUAAAACACAGCACCCUCUUUAUACAAUGGCAGACCACUGAUGAACAGGACCUAUUAACAAUUCUCUCUCUAUUGUAUCAUUGUAACACCCUGAACCGUGCUAUUCUAUUACUCCUCCUUGAUGAUGGACAGCCCAUUCUAUUCUACGUGAUUCCUUUGUAGCUAUAUAAAUGGUCUCAAAACUAUGAUUUUUUAGACAUCUUCUUAGACAGUCCAGACUUCUGUUUUGUCAUGGCUGUCAAGCAGAAUUCUCACCGAUACAUAGUAACUGACUGUGCCAUGGUUUCCUUAAAUGAAACACUUGAGACAAAUUCUGCCUUCUAUAUAAUCAGCCUGAACCACUGAGUCUAGAUCUUACACGAGCCUUGGCAAAGAGAAAACUGACACUAUUUACACUUGAGAUGUGCUUUGGACUCUGCCAUACUGUUGGCUGUAUUGAAAAGUCCCGUUUCUGACCUCUGCUGGUACCCCUAUUGCCAAUGGCCAUGUAAUUGUUAACCUAUUACGCCUAUUCAUCUUCUAAUUGAGGUUGCUUUUGUUUAUUGUUGGCACAUGCCAAGGAGACUGACACUGUAUCUCUGGUAGACAAUACGUCUGACAAAGCUGCCAAACAUGAACCCCCAACUCUGGCAAUAACCCAUUUUUUAACCCAGCUUACAACCCUGCCUUUAACACUUACUGACGUCAAUAAUAUUUGGCAGAUACCCUACAAUGAAAAAAAAGGCUGCAAGAAGAUUCCAGACAAUUGUUAGAAGGAUUAUACGUUGGACCAAAUGGACUUCCUAUAGUCCUUUAUCUUUUAUUGUUUUGUGCUUCUAUUUAUUGCCCAUCAAAUGGAAUAUAUGUGUAAAGAAGGGCAAAUCAAAGAGGUAAAUGACAGUGAUUUUGCCCUGGAAUCCACAGAAUUUCUGAUCAAAUUAUUUACCAAUGUAUUACUUGUAAAUCUUAUGAUAUUUCUGGAUGUAAGUAGCAUACCCCAUGAAAUCCUCUGAGACCCACAUUCCCUUUGCAACACUCCUGGUGGACUUUAUAGAUUUCCCUCAGGAUUCAGGUUAUUCUCAUUAUAGGUUGACUAUACCUAAUCUGAAAAUCCAAAAUCUGAAAUGAUACAAAUCCAAAACGUUAUGAGUGUUGUCAUAAUGCUCAAUGGAAAUGCUCAUGAAAGCAUUUUUUAUUUAAGGUCUUUGGAUUAAGGAUGCUCAUCCAGUAAAUAUGAUACAGCUAUUCCAGUGUCCAAAACUAUCCCAAAUCUGAAACACUUCUGGUCCCACCCAAGCAUUUCAGAUAAGGAAUACUCAACUCAUAAUUGGUGAUUACCUGCACAGUUAGUAGAUGGACUGAGUACUAUCCAACUAGACAUGCUGAUGCCACAUGGUAGUAAUGAAAAAAAAAAUUGAGAUUAUUCUUCAUUUUGGCAUUACUUAAUGUAUUAAAUCAGACCAAGGAACUCACUUAACAACAGAAGUAAAUCACAUGUUCACAAAAACUCUAGGAUAGUCAUUAAAAUUCUAUACUCUUUACCAUCCUCAGUCCUCAGAGAGGUGGAAUGUGAUAAUUUAGACAGCAAAAGAACUAUAAAAUAUGUCAGUACAAUAGACCUAAGUGGCCAGAAGCAUCACCCCUGACCCCAAUAAAAUCUGGAAAACCCCAAACAAGAGAGAUGGAUUAACUGCUUUUUGAAUAAUUUUUGAUAGCUUUAUGCCUAUUAGCAUCUCCAAACUUUUUGUUCCUGAAGUGAGUGAGCAUUAUGGGGACCUGAGUGAAAGGUUCAGUAUUAUGACUAGAUAUCUAAAAGAACUAUCUCUUGUACUUGGAGCUUACCAUUAACAGGCAAAAAAGUCAUGGCCAUUGUCUACCAACAAGCUUUCUAUCCCUUUUGACCAAGCUAUCAAGUAUACAUCAAAAUUUUGACAAGAAAGCAUACACUGUCAUCUUUCUGGGAAGUACCUUGUGAAGCAUUGCUGAACACCUACAUGGCCAUCAAAAUAAAAAGAAAUAUUUCCUGGAUUCAUGCAAGUCAUGCCAAGCUAGACCCAGAUCAUAAUUUCCAGAAAAAUUGAAAAGCUAUUCUUACAGCUGACUUCAAACCAAGGAUUUUCAGGGCCAAUUCACAGGGUCCCAAAGCAGAUGACAACAUAAAGUGGACUAUUUUUUCCAAUAUCUUGGAUCAAGAACUACCUUUCCACCUAUUUUCCCUUGAUAUCUUUCUC
ensembl:lncRNA novel transcript, antisense to MMP16